AGUCCUGGCUGGGGCAGCCCUUCCAGCUCCUGGUUCUGCUUCAAUUCCCUCAUCCUGCGGAGAGACAAAGAGGAGUCAGAGGAGAGUGCGGAGGAAAGGUGGCAGGGCAGAGAUCCCGUGAGCUGCGGCCACCUCCUGCUGCUCCUUCAACCUCCGGCCCUAAGGAAAGAAAAUGAGGCCAAAUCUCAACAUCUCACUGCCCACCUCGUAGACUCUGGACCUACUCCUUCCUCCCGAAGUCCCCUCCUUACAAAAUGUUUAUUUCACAUUUAUUUAUUUGUGUGUGUAUAUGGGCAUGCCUGUGUGUGGACAUCAGAGGACAGCUUGAGGGAGUCAGCUCUCUUCCACUAUGAAUUCCAGGGACAAAAUUAAAGUUGUCAGACUUGGUGGCAA